CCCUCCAUCCUCGGCGCCUCCUCCCCCAUCCUCCACUCCUCGCAUCGAUCGACUUCCCCCUUCCUUUCCCUGCAGCGCAAAUCGACUUCGAUUCCUCAUGGAUUGCCUCGAUCAGAUUUGCAGAAAUUCAAUCGGCCAUGACGAAUUGUUCCUCGAUGCGACUUUAGGUCCCAGCUGCUCACCACCUCAGAACUAGAGGCCCGGUGUCCACAGGCGUUUUCAGGUCUUUAGCAGCUGCGUGGCACUGGCACCCCGUCGAGGACAAGCUCCAGCUCUGCAAGCUCAUUCCGGAAUAUUCAAAAUGAGAUUGAAACAAGAAGAUGGAGGCUUCUGACCACUGUUGGCACAACAAUGUCGCUAUCACCUAUAGUUGCUUGCAGAAUUGUUGUGCUGGCCAUAAAAAUCUCUCCAAAUAAAAACUUAGUUGAAGUAGACAUGAGUUCAUGACGACCACCGGCUCCUUUACAUGGGUAAGGCAACACAAUUCCAAAUAAUUUGAUUGAGCUUUCUUUUCAAGUUAAUAGUUUCACAGGCUUGAUGAUCUCUAUGGAUUUAAUCCCAUGGUACAUUUGUUGUUUCAUAAACAUAGUACAAAGCUUUCUUCUGCUAUGUUAGUUCUGACAACAUCGAAUGGGUAAGCAAUUACUGAAUGCUACUGUUACAAUUAGUACACAAAGCUAGCAAGUCGAAUUGCUGGGCACUACACUGAAUUUCGCUAUUUGAAAUACUUCUUUUACAAAAGUAUACAUGUUUAGGGAAAAAUAAAGAAACAUAGGAUGCAUGCUCUGUUUAUGUUGAUGUUUGCAGAGUUAUUUUGUUUUCUUAAUUUUUCCCUAAACAUUUCAUUGUUUUACACCAUAGCUUUUCAUUAUAACAUAUAUGUGAGUCCUGAAUACGUGGUUAGAAAACAAUGAUAUCCUUAUGCUUACAAUGUUGUUUUCUUAACUUAUAAUGUGCAUAUCUGGUCAUUUUCUUUGUGCUUAUCCCAAUGCUUACAAUUUAUAAAUGUUCCUCUGAAACUGCCUUUUCCUAAAGUAUAUUGAUGCAUAAUUAAGAGACAAAACUAGCCUGGUUGAGUGUUUAUUUUGACUUUUGAAGAUCCUUUGGCCCCGAUGAAAUACAAGAAUGGGAGGAGCUUUAGAUGCCACUGGGGCAUGUCCAUUUGAAUGAAGGUCCUGAUGUGGUGGUUUGGGCUUCGGAAAAAUUGGGGAAAUACACUCGCCGUCGCCGUUAGCUAGAGCAAGAAGAUGACCCUGCAGCCUUAGAUCUUCAAAUCAAUGGAUUAUAUUAAAUGAUGAGGACACCCUUUCACUUAGGCUUGGUGUACCAUCGACCAUGGAAUGAUUUCCUCAGUCCACAAACCUGGGGACCGAGGUCACAAUACAGUUCCUCUAUUGCCCCAAUCUUGAAUGCAGUUUCACUGGAUGGCAAGGAGCGCAGAGCAACAACGUCUGGGCAACAGUGGGCCGCGUAGCCAAUUACUUUUGGAUAUGAUGUACAUCAAUCAAGCUUGUGUAAAUCUAUUUACUUCCUGCUUGUUGCAGUUUUCAUGGUGACUGCAGUAUUUUGAGCACAGAAAUUAUUGUCUGUAGAACAAAAACAUGUUCGAUUACUUCUAUUUGGAAUACUGGUCAGAUGUUUUGGCCUUGGCAGGUGUGUAUGGAUUGAUUUUUGUUAGUUGCACU